rnacentral:rRNA from 1 species
GAUGAACGCUAGCGACAGGCCUAACACAUGCAAGUCGAGGGGCAGCACAUGAGUAGCAAUACUUUGGUGGCGACCGGCGCACGGGUGAGUAACACGUAUGCAACCUGCCUGUAAGAGGGGAAUAACCCGGAGAAAUUCGGACUAAUACCGCAUAAUACCACGAAUUCGCAUGGAUUUGUGUUUAAACAUUUAUGGCUUACAGAUGGGCAUGCGUAUGAUUAGCUAGUAGGUGAGGUAACGGCUCACCUAGGCAACGAUCAUUAGGGGUUCAGAGAGGAAGGUCCCCCACAUUGGAACUGAGACACGGUCCAAACUCCUACGGGAGGCAGCAGUGAGGAAUAUUGGUCAAUGGACGGAAGUCUGAACCAGCCAAGUCGCGUGAAGGAUGAAGGUUCUAUGGAUUGUAAACUUCUUUUGUCUGAGGGUAAAAAAGCGGACGUGUCCGUUCUUGCAAGUAUCAGACGAAUAAGCAUCGGCUAACUCCGUGCCAGCCGCCGCAGUAAGAC